GAAUAAACUGCUGGAUUUACCUUUGGCUGGCUGAUCUAUUUAUGAGUUCUGAACAGAAACUACAGUGUCCCAACUUCCCAAGUAAUCUUUCUUUGACAGGCUGUCCAUAACUGAUAUAGUUUUAUUUUAGAUUAGUGUAGCCUAAGAAUACAGUUUGUGGUUGUUCUCAGGAUAAAUGGUUUAAUUCUAAUGUUAGCUUGCUGGCUUCCCC